rnacentral:rRNA from 1 species
UAGGCGUACGGGUGAGUAACACGUGGAUUAUCUGCCCUCUAGUGGGGAAUACCGUUGGGAAACCGACGACAAUACCGCAUAAGCUCGAGAGAGGAAAGCAGCAAUGCGCUGGAGGAGGAGUCCGCGGUCGAUUAGUUAGUUGGCAGGGUAAAAGCCUACCAAGACUGUGAUCGAUAGCCGGCCUGAGAGGGCACACGGCCACAUUGGCACUGAAACACGGGCCAA